rnacentral:misc_RNA from 1 species
AACGCACAUUGCGCCCGCCAGCAUUCUGGCGGGCAUGCCUGUUCGAGCGUCAUUUCAACCCCUCAGGCCCUGGUGCCUGGCGUCGGGGCUCUCCCCUCGCGGGGAGGCCCCCAGAGACAGUGGCGGGCCCGCCGCGGCUCCGAGCGCAGUAGCACCAAUUCUCGCUUAGGAGGCCCGCGGUGGGCGCCCGGCCGUAAAAACCCCCCCGGCGCAAGCCGGACCCCCCCCAAGGUUGACCUCGGAUCAGGUAGGAAUACCCGCUGAACUUAA